AAUACUAGAACAAAGAUAACAUCUUCUUGAUGCUCCAAUAAUAAUAUUCUAAAUAAUAAUAAUGACAACUCAGUAGUAGAUAAAAAUGUUCAAGUUGCACCAAUAUUAUUUUCAUAAUCAUCUUAAACAAUUUAAUUUAAUUUAAUUUUUUUUAGGAUUUAUCAUAUUCACAAUUUUUUAUAUUCAUCAAAAAGUAAUAACUUGAUACUAAAAAUAACAGUAUCAUAAUAAUUUUAUUUUUUUCAUUUUUUUUUAUUCCUAUAUAUGUAAGUUUUCUAAUAAAAUAUAGAUUUCCCAAUAUUAAUUUAUUUUAAUCAUUCUUUAAAUAAAAAAAAUUAUUUACUAUUUAUGAUUUGAAAAUUGUGUGUAUUCUCAACCCAAGUGUUUAUGUCACUUGAUCAUGCACUUUAAUUCAUGUCCCAGGUUGAUCUUUAGAUGUUUCUCAGUUUUAUUUGCACUAUAUUGUAACCAAAAUACAGAUCACAAUCUAAAACUACUUCUAAUGAUUGUGGAUUUUAAACAUAACUCAUAAUUUUCAAUAGCAUAAACUUCACUAUCAAUUUCCACUGAAUUCAAUGUCAACUUGUAAAUUAAGUAUGAAGAAAAAAUUUGCAAUUAAUGAAGGGCCAAAUGAUUGGAUGUUACAUCAAAAAAAACCAAUAUGUUGGUUUCCAAACUCAUCACAUUCCAACAACUCCAGUGCAAAGAAAACAAAGGAUAACAAAAAACAUAACAUUGAUAUUGGAAGUUACAAACAAAAGGACAUAAACAUGUUAAAAAUGGAUCCAAUUACUUACAUGAAAUAUCAACCAAAACCAAUACCAUUCUUCAAAGAGCCAUGUAAGUUUCAAGUAAAAAGUAUUGGAAGAAAACCAAAAAUUGAAAUAAUGGCAACAAAAAAAUGUGGGUUUCCAAGUCUUCAACAUACAUCAGCACAGAAUACAUCUAAAUUUACCAUGAAACAUCAAGACAGACCCACACAUUUAUAAUGAUUUUAAUGCUGAAUUUUUAAAGUUGUAAGUUUACAUUUAAUUGAACAAACCUAAAACUUACCUGAAGGUAUUGAAAUAUUAAAAAUGCUUCAUUCUCCAAAAUUAGGUACAUAAACAAAUAAAAUUCACACGCAAUUUUUUGUAUCCCUGAUGUACUUGUUAAGAAUCACCAUAUUGAUUGGUGAAUUUGGAGCUUUAUAUAUUUUUAUAUUUUUAUUUUCAAAAAAAUAAAACAGUUGGUAAAGUGUAUAGCAUUUGAAAUCAACUUGUUUUGAAACUAACAAUCAGGUUGUGCAAUUAUUUUUACGAUCAUUCAUGUCAUUGUUUUUCAAUCCUAGUAAUUUUCUGAAUCAAUAUAAAAAUAAAAACAUGUGUCUAAUCUAUUUCGUAUUAUUUGAAAAUACUUCAUCUAAUUUUUGGUUACAUCCACAAUACAUACCUUACACGUGUGUUUUUUAGUAUAAAAUUAUAAUAAUGAAUAAAGAAAUAUUUUAUUGAUACCAAAUUAAGCUUUCAACAUGAAUAACAAUUGUGUUUGUUGAAGUUUCUAAGGAAAAUUGCAAAUUGUAUAUUAUUUUAUUAAGAAAACUUAUAAUUGAAAAAAUAAACAGAACAUUAAAUAUGUUAUCUUAAUGAUUCCUCAACAUGUUUCAUACAUGAUUAGAUAUAUAAGUUUUUGAAUUAACAUGCAAUGGAACUGUGUCACAUUCAAUUAGUGCAUAAUAUUUUGGAUUACAGUUCUGUAAAUCAACUGUGGUAUUGUAUAAAUACUUGAUGUAUUAUGUACAUCUAAUAACAUAGAAGUAUAUAUUAUUUAAUUUUUGUUUGAUUUGUGUUAUAGGUUUUUCUAAAAAUUUAGUUUUAUCACGGAAUAAGAUAAUAUAUAUUAUCUACAUGUAU
rnacentral:lncRNA from 1 species